GUUCCAAAGAACACCCCACUUUCCAAGCAUUUGGUUCUGUCAUAUUUAAACAUAAAAGCUGACCAUGACCACCGUAAAUGCCCCUGUGUGUCUCCUUGCUCGGAAUGAGUUUUACCGGAGCAUCUGCCCGACAGACAAAAUGAAGGCAGUCAGUAGUCUAUCUGAUAAUUUAAUGGAACCAAAGCAAAGACAAGUGACAGUCUGGGUGACCAAAUCCAAGCACCAAGGUUUAGGGCCUAUGAGUGAUGGCUGGACAGUAAAUGUGGUUUUAAAGAGCCCGGCAUCCUGCGGAACCUCUUCCAAACGACAAAGUCCUGCUGAUCGUGUGGUGAAGUAGACACCUGCACAAGAAUAGCGUGUAGACCUCUGGAAGGAAAAAAAAAAUGCUUCUCUACAGACAGAAUAUGUGAACGUGUUGCUUAAAAGUGCUGCUCCAAUAAUUAUUCUAUUGGUUUAUUUUUGUUUAGAGAUAGAGAUCUUUUUCAUGCUAGAGAAUAAUAAUUUUUAGUUUAUACACGAUAUGAUCUUUCAGAAAUCAUUCUAAUAGGCUGAUUUGCUACUCAAGUAACAUUUAUUAUCGGUGUUAAAAACAGUUGCACUGCUUAUUAUUUUUGUGGACAUAAAGAGCAGCAUUUGUUUGAAAUGUCAUUUGUUUUUGUAACUUUAUAAAUCAGUCAUUCAUCCCUUUUUGAAUAAAAGUAUUAAUUUAGAAAAAAAAAAUGUGGGAAAAAAAUCUUUCUGACUCCCAAAAUUUUGAACAGUACUGUAAUUAUACUGUAUAAAUAUCCAUAUAGCCAUAUGCUGCAUUUAUUUUGCCUUACUUUAUGCAAGGCCGGUCCCCACCACCAGUAUGAGACAAAGUUCUCCUAUAAGAACAAAUUGGAGAAAUUGCAGCUAACAAUAUGUUGGCUUUCCUUGCUGUUAAAAGAUCCAAACUUUAAGAGAGCAAUUGUUUAUUUGCUUUUCUUUCACGCACAUCAGCUGGACCAACCUAAUCUGUAAAAUGUGUUUAGACAUAUAAUACUAUUAGAUUUAAUUGUAAAGAUUAAUUUGCCAUGGCAUUGAAAGUUUUAAAAAGCUUUUACCUUUCAAAUACAUAGAAAUAUUUUAUAUGGUCUGCAUAGCCAAUAUGACAACUGAUUAGUCAUUUACAGAUUUUGACAUCCUUCAAUUCUGCCAAUAAAAAGUACAUUUCUUUUCAUCUUCAAUAAACUACCAAUCACACCACAUGUCUGUCACAGUCUCAUAGUUGGGACCUGUUGCUGCAAACAAAGGGGAAGUGAUGUCUGAAAAAGAACAGAGUCAGCAUGCCACAAAGAGGCCUUUUCAUGUAUCUAGCCAACCAUCAGAACUUAGUGACCUGGAAAAUCCAUUUACACACAGGAACAAAGCUGUAAAACGUCAUCUAGCAAGCAAUGUUCCAUAUGGACUGUUUCCCAUAUUCACUGUUUCUGUGUUUGGAACAAGAGCACUUCAAACCUGUCUUUAUGCUAGCACCUGCUGCUCACCCUGUUCAAAGUAUUUUUUUGAAUUAAAAAUACAAUUCUUAAAAAUAAAAA